GGGGAUAUUGCACAAUGGGGGGAACCCUGAUGCAGCGACGCCGCGUGGGUGAAGGAGUGCUUCGGCAUGUAAAGCCCUAUCGGCAGGGAAGAAGCAAGACGGUACCUGACUAAGAAGCCCCGGCUAACUACGUGCCAGCAGCCGCGGUAAUACGUAGGGGGCAAGCGUUAUCCGGAUUUACUGGGUGUAAAGGGAGCGUAGACGGUAAUGCAAGUCUGGAGUGAAAUGCAGGGGCUCAACCCCUGAACUGCUUUGGAAACUGUAUGACUGGAGUGCAGGAGAGGUAAGUGGAAUUCCUAGUGUAGCGGUGAAAUGCGUAGAUAUUAGGAGGAACACCAGUGGCGAAGGCGGCUUACUGGACUGUAACUGACGUUGAGGCUCGAAAGCGUGGGGAGCAAA
rnacentral:rRNA from 1 species